UAGCCUAGUGGCUAAGGCUAUGGAUCGCCAAUCCGGAGACGGCGGGUUCGAAUCCCGU
rnacentral:tRNA from 1 species